UGCAGUCGAGCGAACGGACGAGAAGCUUGCUUCUCUGAUGUUAGCGGCGGACGGGUGAGUAACACGUGGAUAACCUACCUAUAAGACUGGGAUAACUUCGGGAAACCGGAGCUAAUACCGGAUAAUAUUUUGAACCGCAUGGUUCAAAAGUGAAAGACGGUCUUGCUGUCACUUAUAGAUGGAUCCGCGCUGCAUUAGCUAGUUGGUAAGGUAACGGCUUACCAAGGCAACGAUGCAUAGCCGACCUGAGAGGGUGAUCGGCCACACUGGAACUGAGACACGGUCCAGACUCCUACGGGAGGCAGCAGUAGGGAAUCUUCCGCAAUGGGCGAAAGCCUGACGGAGCAACGCCGCGUGAGUGAUGAAGGUCUUCGGAUCGUAAAACUCUGUUAUUAGGGAAGAACAUAUGUGUAAGUAACUGUGCACAUCUUGACGGUACCUAAUCAGAAAGCCACGGCUAACUACGUGCCAGCAGCCGCGGUAAUACGUAGGUGGCAAGCGUUAUCCGGAAUUAUUGGGCGUAAAGCGCGCGUAGGCGGUUUUUUAAGUCUGAUGUGAAAGCCCACGGCUCAACCGUGGAGGGUCAUUGGAAACUGGAAAACUUGAGUGCAGAAGAGGAAAGUGGAAUUCCAUGUGUAGCGGUGAAAUGCGCAGAGAUAUGGAGGAACACCAGUGGCGAAGGCGACUUUCUGGUCUGUAACUGACGCUGAUGUGCGAAAGCGUGGGGAUCAAACAGGAUUAGAUACCCUGGUAGUCCACGCCGUAAACGAUGAGUGCUAAGUGUUAGGGGGUUUCCGCCCCUUAGUGCUGCAGCUAACGCAUUAAGCACUCCGCCUGGGGAGUACGACCGCAAGGUUGAAACUCAAAGGAAUUGACGGGGACCCGCACAAGCGGUGGAGCAUGUGGUUUAAUUCGAAGCAACGCGAAGAACCUUACCAAAUCUUGACAUCCUUUG
rnacentral:rRNA from 1 species